rnacentral:lncRNA from 13 species
GCAUGGUGGCGCGUGCCUGUAAUCCCAGCUACUCAGGAGGCUGAGGCAGGAGAAUUGCUUGAACCCAGGAGGCGGAGGUUCCAGUGAGCCGAGAUCGCGCCAUUGCACUCCAGCCUGGGUAACAAGAGCGAAACUCCAUCUCAAAAAAAAAGAACUGAACCAUCUGUUUAUGCAUCGGUCUAUCGUAGUUCUAACCAGGUAUGUGCCAGGCAUAAUGCUGGGUACUGAGACUUCAACAGUGAACAGGACACAGUACUGUCCUUACAGAGGACACAGACAACAGGCCAUUGCAUUCACUGUGGGAUGGGAUUUCACCAUAUUGGCCAAGCUGGUCUCGAACUCCUGACCUCAUGAUCUGCCUGCCUCGACCUCCCAAAGCGCUGGGAUUACAGGUAUGAACCACUGCUCCAGCCUCUCUUUCUCUCUUUUUUUUGAGACACGGUCUCACUCUGUUACUCAGGCUGGAGUGUGGCGGCACAAUCAUAGCUUGACUGUAUCUCACUGCAGCCUUGACCCCCUAGGCUCAAGUGAUCCUUCCACCUCAGAGUCCUGAGGAGCUGAGGCUAUAAGCACUCACAACCAUGUCCAGCUAAUUUUUAUUUUUGUAUUUUUUUGUAGAGACCAGGUUUUGUCUGGUUGCCCAGGUUGACAUUGAAUCCCUGAGCUCAUGCAAUCCUCCUGCCUUGGCUUCCCAAAGUGCAGGAAUUACAAGUGUGAGCGAAACUCCAUCUCAAAAAAAAAAAAUACCCAGCUGGGUGUGGUGGCUCACACCUGUAACCCCAGCACUUUGGUAGGUCCAGGUGGGUGGAUCACUUGAGGCCAGGAGUCCAAGACCAUUCUGGGCAACAUGGUAAAACCCCGUCUCUACUAAAUAUAAAAAAUUAGCCAGGCGUGGUGGCACGAGCUUGUAGUCCCAACUGCUUAGGAGGCUGAGGCAGGAGAAUCACUUGAACCCAGGAGGUGGAGGUUGCAGUGAACCGAGUUUGCACCACUGCACCCCAGCCUGGGUGACAGAGUGAGACCCUGUCUCAAAAAAAAAAAAAAAAAAAGAAAAGAAAAAGAAAAAUUAUACCGGCCACUUGAGUUUAAAUUGGCCUCCAAUUCCAAAUGACCACCAUGUGAUUUAUUGUAAUUUUCCCUCUUUCCAUAUUUGUAAUUCUCUUCU